rnacentral:lncRNA from 1 species
GAGUAGCUGGGAGUACAGAUGCACACCACCACACCCAGCCUAGAAUGAAGAAACCUGCAGUUGGGAAGCAUGAAUUUACCACCUAUUAAGAAUUGUGGCUUGCAUUGUAAGAGGAGCCUGUGAAUUCAGAGGCAAGUCUGCUGAGGACCGAAUGUUCCUGUCCAUAAAAACAGAAGUCUGGCCUGGGCUCCUCUCUUGGGUGAAUUUGCAAUGCCAGAUCCUCUCUAUCAGUUUGGUUUUGUUUCUUGUAUCUCUGGGAAGGCAGGCAGACAGCACGGUCACCUGUGAAUGCAGCUACAAUUGGCUUAGCUGCCUCACUGAUAAAUGUGCCCCCAGUAAGCUACAAAGGGAUUACCAGCGUUCUCAGCAGCUAAAGAAAAGGUCCAGACGCCUGAGCCUGGAAAGAAGCCUGGCCCACGUUCUAUCCAUUUACCCUGUGGCCUUACAGAGACAGAACCUUUGCAGAGCCUGCACUGUGCUUUUACUGUUCCCUUUCGUGGUUGGCUGAAUAUUGGCCUUCCAAAGAUGUCUACAUCUUAAUCCCCAGAACCUAGGGAACCUGUGAAUACAUCACCUAACAUAGGAAAAGGAACUUUGAGGAUGUGGUUAAGGAUCCUGAGAUGGAACUGGUGAAGAUUUCCCCAGCAAAAAGUAGAAGCUCAGUGUUUCAUAGAUGAAGACUGGGGAGAUUGCAAAAGACCCAUCCAGGAUUCUUACUUUGAGUAGCCAACUUGCAGAAUACAAUAGAAUUUUGGGAGGAGCCCCUCGAUGCCUGGCUUUACUGUUGGAGAGACAGUACAGUAUACACCAGAUGACUUAUUUGUGAACCAUGGAAACGUUUGGAAAAGCCUACUUCAUGCUUUGAACAGAAGAGUUUUAUCAGUUUUAAAUGUUUCUUCAUUUCUAUACCUUCUUUUAUCUGAGGAGCUUAAGCCAUUUUGUAGAGGCAUUAAGUAUUGCCUCAGUCUUAAUAUGUGAGACAAGGUGUGAGGAAUAUAGAGAUUCAUAAAAUAAUCCCCAUCUUCAAGGAACUCACAGUCAGGAAGAACAGAGCCUGCAACACAAAUAAUUGCAAUAUAGUAGAAGUGCCAAUAGGAGCUCUAUGAAGGGCGUGAAACAGGAAAGGCUACAUAGAGGAGAUGGCAGACACUCUGUGGAUUGUGACCUGUUGGUGGGCCAUGAAAUCAAUUUGGGGGUUUGAGAGCAUCAUUCUUUUAAUAAAACAGAAGAGAAUCAUCUGCAAUAAGGAACCCAUGGAUGAAUACCAUCUGGUCCUGGUGAUUUACUGCACAGAGUCCCUCAAGUUGCUCCAUACCUUUCUCCUGAGAGACUGAAGAAUCUCUGUCAAGGCCGUUCUCUGCUUUGCCAUAAAAUGUGUCCUUGGAACAAGAAUUUCCCCAUUGUCUUCUUCAAUAAAUACUGAUUCAAAG